GAUGAAGAACGUAGCGAGAUGCGAUACUUGGUGUGAAUUGCAGAAUCCCGUGAACCAUCGAGUCUUUGAACGCAAGUUGCGCCCGAAGCCAUUAGGCCGAGGGCACGCCUGCCUGGGCGUCACACGUCGUUGCCCCCCCAUCUACUCCUUCGGGAUUGCGGGGGGCGGAUGAUGGCCUCCCGUGCGCCUCGUCGCGCGGUUGGCAUAAAUACCAAGUCCUCGGCGACGCACGCCACGACAAUCGGUGGUUGCGAAACCUCGGUUGCCCGUCGUGUGCGGUCGUCGCGCAUCGAGGGCUCGAAAAAAUUGCCGGGCUCCGGCUCGGCUUUCAACGCGACCCCAGGUCAGGCGGGGUUACCCGCUGAAUUUAAGCAUAUCAAUAAGCGGAGGA
rnacentral:misc_RNA from 1 species